rnacentral:rRNA from 1 species
ACAGUUUGAUCCUGGCUCAGAACGAACGCUGGCGGAGUGCUUAACACAUGCAAGUCCAACCAGAAAGUCUCUUCCGAGAUGAGUAAAGUGGCGAACGGGUGAGUAACACGUAGGUAACCUGCCUCCAAGACCGGGAUAACCUGUUGAAAGAUGGACUAAUACCUGGAUAAGACCACAGGGGCUUCGGCCCUAGUGGCCAAAGGGUGGCCACUGCAUGCAAGCUAUUGCUUGGAGAUGGGCCUGCGGACCAUUAGCUAGUUGGUAGGGUAACGGCCUACCAAGGCAAAGAUGGUUAGCUGGUCUGAGAGGAUGAUCAGCCACACUGGGACUGAGACACGGCCCACACUCCUACGGGAGGCAGCAGUGGGGAAUCUUGGGCAAUGGGCGAAAGCCUGACCCAGCAACGCCGCGUGGGUGAUGAAGGCCCUCCGGUCGUAAAGCCCUGUCCGGAGGAACGAAUUCUCCUGGGGUUAAUACCCCCAGGAAGUGACGGUACCUUCAAAGGAAGCACCGGCUAACUCCGUGCCAACAGCCGCGGUAAGACGGAGGGUGCUAGCCUUGUUCCGAAUUAUUGGGCGUAAAGGGCGUGUACGCCGCUUGUUAAGUCUUGCGUGAAAGCCUUCGGCUCCACCGAGGAAGGGCGUAUGAA